rnacentral:lncRNA from 1 species
GCAAAUAAAUUAUAUGCCAAAAAAAUAACAUAAAUAUUACGAGGAAAAACGAUAGUCAGCUAGACGAAGUAUAACAUAGUAUAUGACUACACAUCUCAAGUCUCAACUAUAGAAAUAUACAGCCAACUACAUAAACUAUAUCUAUUGCAUGCACACAUAUAUCAACUUAAUGUCGACAUGGGAUCAACAUCACAAUCAUUUUAUUUCGGAAUCCGGUGUUGACCAUCGUUGCCGAUAUUGACCCAAAAAACAUUCAAAAUUUUUUUUUUUUUUUUUUAAUUUUCAAAAUAUGAAAGAAAUAUUAUUCUAUUUAAUCUCAUAUAUGUUAUAUAAUGACAAAACACAUUCUAAUACAUUUUUCUUAUAAUUCUUUAAAUUUUUUUUUU